CUACCCCUACGGGGGGCAGCAGUGAGGAAUAUUGGUCAAUGGCCGAGAGGCUGAACCAGCCAAGUAGCGUGCAGGAUGACGGCCCUCGUGGUUGUAAACUGCUUUUAGUCGGGAAUAAAAGGGGGUUCGUGAAUCCCGUAUUGUAUGUACCGUCAGAAAAAGGACCGGCUAAUUCCGUGCCAGCAGCCGCGGUAAUACGGAAGGUCCGGGCGUUAUCCGGAUUUAUUGGGUUUAAAGGGAGCGUAGGCGGGCCGUUAAGUCAGUUGUGAAAGUUUGCGGCUCAACCGUAAAAUUGCAAUUGAUAC
rnacentral:rRNA from 1 species